rnacentral:rRNA from 1 species
GUCUAUGGCUAUGCCACCCUGAACAAGCCCAGUGUCUGAUCUCGAAAGCUAAGCAGGGUCAGGCCUGGUUAGUACUUCAAUGGGAGACCACCUACGAAGACCAGGUGCUGUAGGCA